GCCUAACACAUGCAAGUCGAACGGUAACAGGAAGAAGCUUGCUUCUUUGCUGACGAGUGGCGGACGGGUGAGUAAUGUCUGGGAAACUGCCUGAUGGAGGGGGAUAACUACUGGAAACGGUAGCUAAUACCGCAUAACGUCGCAAGACCAAAAAGGGGGACCUUCGGGCCUCUUGCCAUCGGAUGUGCCCAGAUGGGAUUAGCUAGUAGGUGGGGUAACGGCUCACCUAGGCGACGAUCCCUAGCUGGUCUGAGAGGAUGACCAGCCACACUGGAACUGAGACACGGUCCAGACUCCUACGGGAGGCAGCAGUGGGGAAUAUUGCACAAUGGGCGCAAGCCUGAUGCAGCCAUGCCGCGUGUAUGAAGAAGGCCUUCGGGUUGUAAAGUACUUUCAGCGGGGAGGAAGGGAGUAAAGUUAAUACCUUUGCUCAUUGACGUUACCCGCAGAAGAAGCACCGGCUAACUCCGUGCCAGCAGCCGCGGUAAUACGGAGGGUGCAAGCGUUAAUCGGAAUUACUGGGCGUAAAGCGCACGCAGGCGGUUUGUUAAGUCAGAUGUGAAAUCCCCGGGCUCAACCUGGGAACUGCAUCUGAUACUGGCAAGCUUGAGUCUCGUAGAGGGGGGUAGAAUUCCAGGUGUAGCGGUGAAAUGCGUAG
rnacentral:rRNA from 1 species